UACGUAGGGGGCAAGCGUUGUCCGGAUUUACUGGGCGUAAAGGGCGCGUAGGCGGCCACCGCAAGUCGACUGUGAAAUCUCCGGGCUUAACCCGGAAAGGUCAGCCGAUACUGCGGGGCUAGAGUGCAGAAGGGGCAACUGGAAUUCUCGGUGUAGCGGUGAAAUGCGUAGAUAUCGAGAGGAACACCUGCGGCGAAGGCGGGUUGCUGGGCUGACACUGACGCUGAGGCGCGAAAGCUAGGGGAGCGAACGGG
rnacentral:rRNA from 1 species